GAUGAACGCCGGCGGCGUGCCUAACACAUGCAAGUCGAACGGAGUCCAGCCUUAGAGACCUUCGGGUCAAAGAGGGGAAGACUGAGUGGCGGACGGGUGAGUAACACGUGGGCAACCUGGCUCAUAGAGGGGGAUAACAGAGAGAAAUUUCUGCUAAUACCGCAUAAGCACACACUGCCGCAUGGCAGAGUGUGAAAAGAGAAUCGCUAUGAGAUGGACCCGCGUCUGAUUAGCCAGUUGGCAGGGUAAGAGCCUACCAAAGCGACGAUCAGUAGCCGAUUUGAGAGGAUGAACGGCCACAUUGGGACUGAGACACGGCCCAAACUCCUACGGGAGGCAGCAGUGGGGGAUAUUGCACAAUGGGGGGAACCCUGAUGCAGCGACGCCGCGUGAGUGAAGAAGUAUUUCGGUAUGUAAAGCUCUAUCAGCAGGGAAGAUAAUGACAGUACCUGAAUAAGAAGCCCCGGCUAACUACGUG
rnacentral:rRNA from 1 species